AUGAUGGUGGUGUGCAGCCAUGGGCGAUGGUUCCAUCCCAACCUCUCGGGUCUGGAAGCGGAACAGAUCCUGCUGGACCAAGGAUGCGAUGGGAGCUUCCUGGCACGACCCAGCAAGUCCAAGAAAGGAGACUUCACACUCUCCGUCAGGAGGAAUGGUGUGGUGACCCACAUCAAGAUUCGCAACACGGGCGACUACUAUGACCUGUACGGGGGUGAGAACUUUGCCACUUUGGCUGAACUGGUCCAGUAUUACAUGGAGAACCAAGACCAACUCAAGGAGCGCAAUGGCGAGAUCAUUGAACUCAAGUACCCUCUCAUCUGCGCUGAUCCCACCACUGAGAGAUGGUUUCAUGGCCCACUCGUGGCCAAGGAAGCAGAAAAGCUCCUUCUCGAAAAAGGCAAAAAUGGCAGCUUUUUGGUUCGGGAGAGUCGAAGCAAGCCAGGGGACUACGUUCUGUCUGUUCGUACGGAGGACAAGGUGACCCACUUCAUUGUCCGCUGCCAGGAAGGAAAAUUUGAUGCCUGUGGCGGUGAGAAGUUUGACAGCCUGAGUGAACUGGUGGACUUCUAUCGUAAGAACCCAAUGGUGGAGACCACAGGUACUGUGGUGCACCUCAAGCAGCCAUUCAAUGCCACCCGCAUCAAGGCAUCCACCAUUGAGAACCGUGUGAAGCAGCUGUCCAAGGAGAAUGGACAGAACAGUGGCAAGGCGGGCUUCUGGGAGGAGUUUGAGCAUUUGCAGCAGCAAGAGUGCAAAAACCUCUACAGUCGGAAAGACGGACAGAGGCCUGAGAACCGGGCCAAGAACCGCUACAAGAACAUACUGCCAUUUGACGCGACAAGGGUGCACCUGCAAGAUGUGGAUCCUGAUGCCCCGUAUUCAGACUACAUUAAUGCAAACUACAUCAAGGUAGACGACGAUACCAUUUUUGAUGGCCAUAGCAAAGUGUACAUAGCCACACAAGGCUGCCUGCAGAACACUAUCGGUGACUUCUGGUCCAUGGUCUGGCAAGGAAAUACGAGGGUUAUUGUCAUGACUACCAAGGAAGUUGAACGGGGAAAGCCCAAAUGUGUACGGUAUUGGCCAGAUGAAGGCCAGACAAAAGAGUAUGGGAAAUACUGCCUGCAGCACAUUGCCGAGUCAUCGAAUGCAGACUACACCUUAAGAGAGUUUGCCAUGUCAAAAAAUGGUGAGUGCGAGACCAGGAGUGUCUUCCACUACCACUUCACUGCCUGGCCUGACCACGGAGUGCCAUCGGACCCUGGCUGUGUGCUCAACUUCCUGCACGAUGUCAACCAACGGCAAGAAUCCAUGCCGGAUGCCGGACCUAUUGUGGUGCACUGCAGUGCUGGGAUUGGCCGUACUGGUACAUUCAUUGUCAUUGACAUGAUUGUGGACCUUAUCAAGAAGCAAGGGCUGAGCUGCGAGAUCGACAUUCAGCGAACGAUUCAGAUGGUGCGCAUGCAGAGGUCGGGCAUGGUGCAGACUGAGGCGCAAUACAAGUUUGUUUACUUGGCUGUGGAGCACUACAUUGAGACACUGCAGCAGCGGAUGCAGGCUGAACAGGCCACCAACAGAAGUGCCCCGGCAGAUGUAUGAGAACAUUCCACUGCAAGAGAGGAAGUCACCUGUGGGAACAGUUUGUGCGCCGCCACCACCACCAAAAAAGUCGUGACAGCAUUUAUUCCAUACAUAGAUGUGGCCACCAGGAGCACCCCAGCUACCGUGGACCCUAGUCUCUCCCCCUCCAUCCAUCCGCUUCUUCUGUUGCUAGCUGUGCUACUUAGAGGGACCCUAGAGAGAAAGGCCACUUCUCGCGUACUAAGUAAAUUGCUCUUUUACAAUACCAAAAAUUCCACGCUUGCUUCGAGAAGACACUUGGUAAGCAAGAAAACGCUCAAAAAGAAAAUGUGGGUGCCAAUGCCACCUUCAAGUUCCUGCACCAGUCGCCGUGACGUCAUAAAUUUUGACCAUGCCCACUCGGGCCUACAUAGUUCCUAAUCAGUAAAAGGAGGUGCGUUGUCUCCUGAGGGAGCCAGAGUCUUCUUCAUGAAAUUUCGUCAACCCAAUGUGGCCCAAGUACAAAAGAACACUUUGAAAUCUGUGACGUCACCAUCAGAGAUUUUGGCAGGAAAUUUAAAUGUAAAGCUUUCUCAUCUAUUAAUAAACCUAUAGUGGUGAAAUUAACGACACUAGAGUUUUCAAAGUAUAAUUUAAGCAAAUUUACCUUUAGUGUCCCUUUAAGUCUGCAUUGUACACAAGGCCUCUUCUGCUUAAUGUGCAAACCGAUGUGAUAGUGCGACUACGGCCUCCUUGUGUGAUACACCUUUGUUUGGAUAAGUACAAAUCAACGUGGAUGCUG
rnacentral:misc_RNA from 1 species